GUGGGGAAUAUUGGACAAUGGGGGGAACCCUGAUCCAGCCAUGCCGCGUGUGUGAAGAAGGCCUUUUGGUUGUAAAGCACUUUAAGCGAGGAGGAGGCUACCGAGAUUAAUACUCUUGGAUAGUGGACGUUACUCGCAGAAUAAGCACCGGCUAACUCUGUGCCAGCAGCCGCGGUAAUACAGAGGGUGCAAGCGUUAAUCGGAUUUACUGGGCGCAAAGCGCGCGUAGGUGGCCAAUUAAGUCAAAUGUGAAAUCCCCGAGCUUAACUUGGGAAUUGCAUUCGAUACUGGUUGGCUAGAGUAUGGGAGAGGAUGGUAGAAUUCCAGGUGUAGCGGUGAAAUGCGUAGAGAUCUGGAGGAAUACCGAUGGCGAAGGCAGCCAUCUGGCCUAAUACUGACACUGAGGUGCGAAAGCAUGGGGAGCAAACAGGAUUAGAAACCCGGGUAGUCC
rnacentral:rRNA from 1 species